rnacentral:rRNA from 1 species
ACCCGCUGAACUUAAGCAUAUCAAUAAGCGGAGGAAAAGAAACCAACAGGGAUUGCCACAGUAACGGCGAGUGAAGCGGCAACAGCUCAAAUUUGAAAUCUGGCCGUUCAACGGUCCGAGUUGUAAUUUGUAGAGGAUGCUUCGGGUGUGGCGCCGGUCUAAGUUCCUUGGAACAGGACGUCAGAGAGGGUGAGAAUCCUGUAUGUGACCGGUGACCUAGCCCGUGUGAAGCUCCUUCGACGAGUCGAGUUGUUUGGGAAUGCAGCUCUAAAUGGGUGGUAAAUUUCAUCUAAAGCUAAAUACCGGCCAGAGACCGAUAGCGCACAAGUAGAGUGAUCGAAAGAUGAAAAGCACUUUGGAAAGAGAGUUAAAAAGUACGUGAAAUUGUUGAAAGGGAAGCGCUUGCGACCAGACUUGCUCACGGGUGAUCAGCCGUCCUUCUGGGCGGUGCACUCGCCUGUGAUCAGGCCAGCAUCGGUCCGGGCGGCCGGAUAAAGGCCCCGGGAAUGUGGCUCCCCUCGGGGAGUGUUAUAGCCCGGGGUGCAAUGCGGCCAGCUGGGACCGAGGACCGCGCUUCGGCUAGGAUGCUGGCGUAAUGGUCGUAAGCGACCCGUCUUGAAACACGGACCAAGGAGUCUAACAUCUGUGCGAGUGUUUGGGUGUCAAACCCAUGCGCGGAAUGAAAGUGAAUGGAGGUGGGAACCCUUCAGGGUGCACCAUCGACCGAUCCUGAUGUCUUCGGAUGGAUUUGAGUAAGAGCAUAGCUGUUGGGACCCGAAAGAUGGUGAACUAUGCCUGAAUAGGGUGAAGCCAGAGGAAACUCUGGUGGAGGCUCGCAGCGGUUCUGACGUGCAAAUCGAUCGUCAAAUUUGGGUAUAGGGGCGAAAGACUAAUCGAACCAUCUAGUAGCUGGUUCCUGCCGAAGUUUCCCUCAGGAUA